rnacentral:rRNA from 1 species
AUGGACCUUGCCGUGGGCGCCUCGAGCGACGCCGUGAAAUCUCUUGUCGGCAAGCUCGGGAGCCUUCUUGCUCAGCAGUACGGCCUGAUCCAAGGCGUCCGCGACGACAUCAGGUACAUUAAUGACGAGAUGGCCAGCAUGCAGGCUUUCCUUACCGCAAUCGAGCGGGCCGGCAACCAUGACGAGCAGAGGCGGGUUUGGAUGAAGCAGGUGCGCGACAUGGUCUAUGACAUAGAGGAUGUCAACCACCGCCUCGGCCCCGAGCCCCGCGGGAACGACAAACUCAUGUUCAUCAGGAAGGCAUGGUACCUGCUCACCACGUUGAAUGCGCGGCGCUGCGUCGCCACCGAGAUCGGCAACCUCAAGGUUUGGGCGCAGGAUAUCAGCAACCGGCGCAUGAGGUACGGGGUGGAGAACCCCACUACUAAAGAUGGAUGCAGUGAAGCUGAGGAAACUGAAGAUCCUAGUAGUGACCAUGUUGCCCCUCCACCCCAGUUCGUUGUUAGGGAGCGGCCUGUGGGCCUGGACUCUACCGUAGAAAAGCUCGAGGUAUUGUUAGAAUACCAGGAUUCACCAGGUUGUGAUCUGGAGUCAAGGACCAAUUACAACAACAGGACUCUCGCCAUCUUCGGAAUCGGUGGCCUUGGCAAGUCCAGACUCGCCAGGGAACUGUACGAUAAAUAUGGAGAUAAAUUUCACCACAGAGCAUUCGUGCAGGUCUCAAAGAAGUUCAAUCUUGUGAUGCUUCUGAGGAGUCUUGUUGAGCAGUUCCAUAGGCAGCAGACCCAUACAUCUCCAGCUGAUCUGCUUGACAGAUUUGAGGAAUGGGGGGAAAUACAGCUCAAGAAGAAACUCGCCGCCCAAUUAAAAGACAAAAGGUACCUUGUUCUGAUAGAUGACAUAUGGUCUGUAUCAGCAUGGGAAAAAAUUAAUGAUUCUUUGCCCCAAAGCAUGGGUGUCAUAGUGGCGACAACAAGGUUUAGGUCUGUAGCUGCUGCCUGCUGCCGUCGAAAUGGUCAUAUGUACGAGCAGCACCCACUCACUGAAGAGAACUCCUACAAACUGUUCCGUCAAAUCAUCUGCACGGCUUCUGAUGAGCCCACUGAUGCAGCUAAAGUUCUUCUUCAGAAAUGUGGAGGUUUACCUUUGGCCAUAAUCGUCGUAGCAGGCCUCGUGGCUGGGAAGCUGAGAUCUGGUCCUAGCUCGCUAACACUAUGUUAA